UACGAAGGGUGCAAGCGUUAAUCGGAAUUACUGGGCGUAAAGGGUGCGUAGGCGGUUGUUUAAGUCUGUCGUGAAAUCCCCGGGCUCAACCUGGGAAUGGCGAUGGAUACUGGGCAGCUAGAGUGUGUCAGAGGAUGGUGGGAUUCCCGGUGUAGCGGUGAAAUGCGUAGAGAUCGGGAGGAACAUCAGUGGCGAAGGCGGCCAUCUGGGACAACACUGACGCUGAAGCACGAAAGCGUGGGGAGCAAACAGG
rnacentral:rRNA from 1 species